rnacentral:rRNA from 1 species
GUUGCCUACGGUGUGCUGGAGACAGAGUCUGAGGAGAGCUGGACUUGGUUUUUGCAUAAUCUGCGCCGGGCUAUUGCACAUCCCAAUGGGUUGGUCAUUCAUACAGAUGCCUGCAAAGGUUUAGAAGUGGCCGUGGACAAUGUGUUCCCUGGAGUAGAGCAUAGGGAAUGCAUGCGUCACCUUGCUGCAAAUUUCAUGAAGAAAUUCAAAGGACAGGUGUAUACCGACAAUUUAUGGCCAGCAUCUUUGACUUGUAGUGUGAAGAAGCAGAACUACCACUUGAGGCAGUUAUACAUGAAUCCCAAAGUGAAAGAAUACUUGGAAACACACCACUCCAAGUUAUGGGCCAGAAGCCAAUUCAGUGAACUGAGCAAAGUUGACUAUGUGCACAAUAAUCUAGCAGAGUCUUUCAACUCAACGAUCCGGAAA